ACAUUGUGACAUCAUAACUUAGGCUACUUUAUUUGCUGUUGCACCAAUAUAGCGCCAAGGCGCGGAGUAGCACCUUUGGAUGCAAACGGUGCUUUCCUUUCAUGAAACUUAAGGCACUUCGCAGGCAUUUUCUUUCUAAACCUCACAACAUCUCUCAAAGCUUAAAAAAAAGAAGGAAAUCCUGUAUAUGUGACACCAGGGACGAAAUUGGAAGACAUUAUGCUAACUGAAAAAGGCCAGUCACAGAAAGACAACUACUGUAUGCUUCUGCUUAUAUGAGGUAAAGUGAGGAUUUGGGAAAGAAAGGAAAACAUAAGAUGAGAUCUCUCUAUGAACAAGUGACGGUUUAAAGUGGGUCACCUCAUUGCCAUCUCAUAAGCACCUUAUUGCACCAACCCAAGGAAUCACCUGCAAGUGAACAGUGAAGGUUCAAUAAGGAUGGAAAAGAGUACUGAUAGCAAUUUGGAAGCAAAUCUGAGGAGUGCAUACUUUUCAUUAAAAGGUUAUUUCGUGCUUCCUCUCUUCCACACGAUCAAGAUCUUCAAAGUAAGCAUCUUUCAAAGGAGCGACAAGCAAAAUACAGCUGCAGGAUCAGUAACUCCCUGUUAAGCAGCUUUGCCUGCUGUCACUAUUGACUGCUGGAGGUGGUGAUCCAUGUCAGUCACUAAAACGACACCUUGGCAAGACUGCAAUCUGCUCCCAGGGUUUUUGUGUAUGAGAACACUUAGAUAAUGAGAUUUUCAUAUAUUCCCAGCAGCUCACACAGUGCCUGGAA